CUGAGUUGGAAGAAGAAAUGAUAGCAAAAAUUCCCAAGUUUAAGGCUCGCCCUCUAAAUAAGAAGUGUUUUUUAUUGCAGCUUCAAAACCUUUCCCUUUCCCUCGGAACCUUUUCAGCUUAUCCCGAUAAUGGAUGUUGCCGUCGAUUGGAAGAAAACUCUGGCUGUAGAGUAUUCUCCAUCGAUAAUUGGAAUGGAUGUUUCCCAUGACAAUUUGGUUUUCCUCACUAUGGAUCUGCGGCUAUGUCGACCGACGGCUACUGAAAAUAUCAGUUGCAACCUUGGUGGUGGCUUCGUCUCUUCUCUCUAUGGAUCUGCGGCUAUGUCGACCAAACGGCUACUGAAUAUCAAUGCCAAGGAUGAAAAUAAGGUUGAUUUUAAGAAGAUUGCCAGUGAAAAUUGGAUUGAGUCACCAAGAAAAGAGCGAAAGAUUACUCGGAGUUGAAUAUUUCAAGUAAACAAUGUGACAGAAUGGUCCUACAAGAUCCAAAGAUCCUCGAAUUCCUCGUAUGCAUUAAUCGAUUUUGUAUAUACAGGGGGUUGGGUUCAUUUCUAGUAGGUGUUCUGCGUUGGUGAAAGAUUGAAGUUGAAGAGAAAGAAGAUGUGUGCUAUUUCAUUAUAGUCCAAAAAUUAAUGAGGAACUAUAAUUUGUGUUUGGAAAGUGUCCAAGUGGCUCUGUUGUAGGGAAACUCUGGUGAUAAGAGUUCUUCCUGUGGUUUGCUGGGAGGGAAUAUGGUACUCUUUAAAUUGUAUCAACAGUGGCUUCCUUGUGUGUCACAUGGUGAGAAGUUGGCGACAACUUCAAUUGUUACUCUGCCAAAAAGGAAAAUGGUACACCAUUUUGAUGAUAUGGAGGAUCUUAGUUUCCCUUGCUUUGAAUUCA